rnacentral:lncRNA from 12 species
AUGUUUCUCCACAGAUUAAGGCAGUGGACCAUAGCAGGACAAAUUGUGUCGGCAUGGUGGAGAAAGAUUCUGCAGGAGUCAUGUACUAUCAGGUAUCAGGAAGUGAAAAUAGAGCCAAUGGAUUUCUGCCACCUCACACAUCGCACAUAUCACUAUAAUCAACACCAGCAAAGCUGCUCAGGACCCGUUAAGAAACAGAGAGGUGACUGA